GAUGAAGAACGUAGCGAAAUGCGAUAAGUAGUGUGAAUUGCAGAAUUCAGUGAAUCAUCGAAUCUUUGAACGCACCUUGCGCUCUUUGGUAUUCCGAAGAGCAUGCCUGUUUGAGUGUCAUGAAAAUAUCAACCUUGACUUGGGUUUUGUGCUCUAGUCUCGGCUUGGAAUUGGGUGCUUGCCGCUUUUACGAGCGGCUCACCUUAAAUGUAUUAGCUGGAUCUGUCUUUGAGACUUGGUUUGACUUGGCGUAAUAAGUAUUUCGCUAAGGACAUUCUUCGGAGUGGCCUCGUUUCUAGGACGCUUGUCCGCUUUCCAAUACAAGUUCCACCUCGUGGACAUGACUUUUUAUUAUAUGGCCUCAAAUCAGGUAGGACUACCCGCUGAACUUAAGCAUAUCAAUAAGCGGAGGA
rnacentral:misc_RNA from 1 species